GGCGCUAUAGCCAAGUGGUUACGGCGACAGAUUCGAAUUGGUUUGAACUUGCACGAGCAAGAUUCGAACCUGCGAUAUCUGUUCCUCUUUGAGGGCGCAGGUUCGAAUCCUGCUGGCGUCG
rfam:Schizopora paradoxa strain KTC8140 unplaced genomic scaffold SCHPAscaffold_00049, whole genome shotgun sequence.